GAUCAUGGCUCGGGAUGAACGCUAGCUACAGGCUUAACACAUGCAAGUCGAGGGGCAGCAUGGUCUUAGCUUGCUAAGGCCGAUGGCGACCGGCGCACGGGUGAGUAACACGUAUCCAACCUGCCGUCUACUCUUGGACAGCCUUCUGAAAAGGAAGAUUAAUACAAGAUGGCAUCAUGAUCCGCAUGUUCACAUGAUUAAAGGNUUCCGGUAGACGAUGGGG
rnacentral:rRNA from 1 species